CCUACGGGAGGCAGCAGUGGGGAAUUUUCCGCAAUGGGCGAAAGCCUGACGGAGCAAUACCGCGUGAGGGAUGAAGGCCUAUGGGUUGUAAACCUCUUUUUUCAGGGAGGAAUAAAAUGACGUGUACCUGAAGAAUAAGCAUCGGCUAACUCCGUGCCAGCAGCCGCGGUAAGACGGGGGAUGCAAGUGUUAUCCGGAAUCACUGGGCGUAAAGCGUCUGUAGGUGGUUAAAUAAGUCAACUGUUAAAUCUUGAGGCUCAACCUCAAAAUCGCAGUCGAAACUGUUUGACUAGAGUAUAGUAGGGGUAAAGGGAAUUUCCAGUGGAGCGGUGAAAUGCGUAGAGAUUGGAAAGAACACCGAUGGCGAAGGCACUUUACUGGGCUAUUACUAACACUGAGAGACGAAAGCUAGGGUAGCAAAUGGGAUUAGAUACCCCAGUAGUC
rnacentral:rRNA from 1 species